rnacentral:rRNA from 1 species
GAUGAACGCUGGCGGCGUGCCUAAUACAUGCAAGUCGAGCGAACAGACGAGGAGCUUGCUCCUUUGACGUUAGCGGCGGACGGGUGAGUAACACGUGGGUAACCUACCUAUAAGACUGGGAUAACUUCGGGAAACCGGAGCUAAUACCGGAUAAUAUUUCGAACCGCAUGGUUCGAUAGUGAAAGAUGGCUUUGCUAUCACUUAUAGAUGGACCUGCGCCGUAUUAGCUAGUUGGUAAGGUAACGGCUUACCAAGGCAACGAUACGUAGCCGACCUGAGAGAGUGAUCGGCCACACUGGAACUGAGACACGGUCCAGACUCCUACGGGAGGCAGCAGUAGGGAAUCUUCCGCAAUAGGCGAAAGCCUGACGGAGCAACGCCGCGUGAGUGAUGACGGUCUUCGGAUCGUAAAACUCUGUUAUUAGGGAAGAACAAACGUGUAAGUAACUGUGCACGUCUUGACGGUACCUAAUCAGAAAGCCACGGCUAACUACGUG